rnacentral:misc_RNA from 1 species
CAGAGUUUACAACUCCCAAACCCAAAUGUGAACAUACCAAUCGUUGCUUCGGCGGACUCGUCCCGGCGUCCGGGUGGCCUUGCGCCGCCCGCGGCCCGGAUCCAGGCGGCCGCCGGAGGCCAUCAAACUCUUUGUAUUACCAGUAUCGUCUGAAUCCGCCGCAAGGCAAAACAAAUGAAUCA